GGGGCAGUAGCGAAGUUGGUAUCGCGCCACAAUGGCAUUGUGGAGACCACGAGUUCAAAUCUCGUCUGCUCCACCA
rnacentral:tRNA from 1 species